rnacentral:rRNA from 1 species
GAUCAUUAACGAAUCUUCAAAGUCGGCCCUUCCAGUGCUGGUGGUCACACAUGUGCACGUUAGGGUCGCAAAUCCACACACCUGUGCAUACAUGACUCUGAGAGCCUUACCCUGGUUUGGGAGUCUGACUCUGGUCAGACUGGCACUCGAGUAUUUUUCACACACUCUGAAUGUAAAGGAAUGUACAUCUUGCAUAACAUGCAAAACAAAACAACUUUCGACAACGGAUCUCUUGGCUCUCGCAUCGAUGAAGAACGCAGCGAAAUGCGAUAAGUAAUGUGAAUUGCAGAAUUCAGUGAAUCAUCGAAUCUUUGAACGCACCUUGCACCCUUUGGUAUUCCGAAGGGUACACCCGUUUGAGUGUCAUUGUAAUCUCACCAUCCAACUCUUUGUUGGCAUGUCGUGGAUUUGGAUGUUGCCGUGUUGCGAUGGCUCAUCUGAAAUGGCUGAGUACAUCCUGGAUUGUGAUGUGUUCGGUGUGAUAAACUUUCACCGUCUCUGACCCCAGCGGUCACACUCACUUGACCGAGGCUCUGUGCUUCCAACCGUCUUGAUCGGACAAUUUUGACAAUUUGACCUCAAAUCGGGUGGGACUACCCGCUGAACUUAAGCAUAUCAAUAAGCGGAGGAAAAGAAACUAACANGGAUUNCCCUAGUAACGGCAAGUGAAGAGGGAAAAGCUCAAAUUUUGAAUCUGGUGCCCUCGGCUCCAGAGUUGUAAUCUAGAGAAGUGUUUUCUGUGUCGGACCAUGCACAAGUCCCCUGGAAUGGGGUGUCAUAGAGGGUGAGAAUCCCGUACAUGGCACGGACCCCGAUGCUCUGUGAUACACUCUCAACGAGUCGAGUUGUUUGGGAAUGCAGCUCAAAAUGGGUGGUGAAUUCCAUCUAAAGCUAAAUAUUGGCGAGAGACCGAUAGCGAACAAGUACCGUGAGGGAAAGAUGAAAAGCACUUUGGAAAGAGAGUGAAACAGUACGUGAAAUUGUUGAAAGGGAAGCGUUUGAAGUCAGUCGUGUCAUUUGGAAUUCAACCUGGCUUUUGCCUGGUGUACUUUCCAUCUGACAGGUCAGCAUCAGUUUCGGUCGAGGGAAAAAGGUGUGGGGAAUGUGGCUGUCUUCGGGCAGUGUUAUAGCCCCACAUUGUAUACCUCGACUGGGACUGAGGAGUGCAGCGCGCCUAUUGGCCGGGGGUUCGCGCCCCUCGGUACGCGCUA